rnacentral:lncRNA from 1 species
ACACUCAUUAAAAAAAAAUUAAGGCAUUUUGGUGUACCUGGGGGUGCUCAGUCUAGGUGACUACUUACCCUCAAACCUGGGCUGGAACUUUCCAAUGGCAAAGCUGGAAUAUGCUCUAAGGGAGCAGAAGCUGCCAGAGUUGGCCAUCAGGAAAGGUACAAAAUGCAUGCCUUCCUCUUCUGUCAGCAUCUGUAAACAGACACCACAGGAGUACCCUAGUGUGGCCUCCAACUUGUUUAAAAAGAAAAAACAAAAACCUACCUUAUAUUGAGGACAAUGAAAAAGGGAAGUCCUUUUGUUCUACCUCUGCCCUGAGUCGGGGCUGCCGUGGGUCACGUAAAUACAUUUCAUUUAUCACGACAUCCUGUGCUUCACAAAGACAGUGGAGAGGUCAUUCAGCCUAAGAUCACACAGAUUUCCUGGAUAAAGUGAAUGGUGGGAAAGGCUGAUGCUAUGUGUGUUGGCGUUAAGUUCCUGUCCACAGUCUGGAGAGGUGAACCUCUGAAGGGCUUAGUCAUGGGUCCCCCUCAGAAUCAGUAGAGGUGGAGGGAGGAUUUUCCAAGUUUUUAAUGAGUUUGAGUCAACCCUACAAACUAUUCAAGGAGGAACCACAAAGUAAAACAUGGACUCAAGGACUUCAGAGACUUACCUAGAUGCCUCUAAACACCGGGCUGAAGCCAGGCUGUUCUGUCCUAGAACCACCUUGAGCUGUCAGGAACAAGUCCAUCAACCAACCAUUCAUGGCGAAGACCCAAACUGCCCAAACUGCCAUCCCCAGGGACCUUGCACAUAGCCUCGUGUGUUACUGUUCACCAUUACUGUCCCUUCUGACACUUCCAACAUGACAGACAAAAAUGCUUUAGUGGGUG